UCUGCCCCACUGUUUCAGACUCUUCUCGUUGUAGAUGUCCCUGCCGAAUCUGAUCCUCGGCGAUAGAUUUGAUUGCUUCACAUUGGCAAUCAUUUCUCACUUGCUCCACUUGAUUGCAGCACUGCUGGAGCUGCCGUGUCUCCUGCUGCUGGUUCUCAUCUCUAGGCAUCCUUAACACUUUUUCUCCUGGUGACCUUCUUGAACUUGAUUGUCUUAUGUAUUGCUCGCAGGAGCUCAAGUCCUUCCUCUGAAUUUCCUGGCGGCAUUGCUGCGGGUGAGACCCUUCCCUUUCACCCUUUGAAUCGUCAAUCUCAAUGGUGGUGAUGGUGGUUCUGUGAGCGAAAGAGGCAUCGGCAAUGAUGAACAACAGAACACUAAAGAGAGCAAUUGUGGAUACGAGCUUUGCCAUUGUUACUGAAUAUGAAAGAGCUGAUUUUAUAGAAUAUAUCGGACGAUAGAAUGGGUUUUUAUAGGACAAUUCAGGGGAAUGCAUGUCGGAAACGUGUAGAUUUAUGGAAUCGCCAGUCAUUUCUAACAUUUUUAUGGGGUGGCUACAUCUGUUUCUGUGGUAUGCAUCAUUCUUACUCGUAGGACUGCAGUAUGUAGUAAUUCUUAUGGAUUUUGUGUUUGAUGUUAGCUAGAGUAUCUGUACGUGGUUGCAUUUAGUGACUCUUAUUACUUAAAAUAAACUAUUCAAAAUAUUUGUUACACAUCUACCUAUAGUUAUUACAUUAUCGUUAUAUGUUUGCUUUAAUUGAGUGAGCAAAAAGACAUAUUAGCACAUUGUACCUAACAAUCAAAUACAUGCAUAUUUGAUUUAAGUCACAAUUACAGUAUAUAUUUAAAGAAAACAAAAGUAUGCUCUUAAUACCAGAAAGUAAAAUUAUUUUUGGUUCGACUUUAUCUAGUUAGAGAACUAAUACUAAUCUUAAAUUUACUGAUGAAUAAAAUUAAAAAUAAAUAGAAGUGAUUAAAUGAUGAAUGAGUCAAUUGAGCCAAAGAGUUUUUUUGUUGUUAUUAUACCAAAUUAAGUUAGAAUAAAGAAACAAGAAAAAUACAAAAGUCUUUUUCAUUAGUCUAAUUAUUUAUGUACAAUGAAUAAGAAAUGUUACCAAUUCUCCUUUAUUAUAGUUAUAUCUAUUAUAAGAUAUUCUUAAGAUACCAAAAUGAUAUUUUUAAUAUACUUUCUUUUCUAUGUUUAUUAAUACUGUGUCAUAUUAAAGUAAAUUUAUAUUUAAUUUUUGUAAUAAAAUAUCUAAAAGAUACUUUCAGUAUACCUAAAAAAUACCAUAUAGUAUAAACAGUAUAUAGGUGAUUUAAAAAAAUAAAAAAUAUCAACAACAGUACACUAAUAAGAUAUUGUUUAAUAUACUUUUAGGUGUAUAUUUAUGAAUGCUUUAAUUAAAGUUAUAUCAUUACUCAGUUGUAUAAAAAGAUGCUAAGAAUAUAUUAAAUAUUUAUUGGAUUAUAAUAUUUAUUUAAAGAUAACAAAAGUAUGCUUGUAAUAUACCAAAAAGUUAAAAUAUUUUUGGUCUGACUUUGUUUAGUUACAAAACUAAGUCUAGUCUUAAAUUUACUGAUGAUGAAAAUUAGAAAAUAAAUAGAAGUGAUUAAAUGAAGAAUGAAUCAAUUGAGCCAAAGAGGUCUUUUUGUUAUUAUACCAAGUUAAGUUAAUGGAAUAAAGAAAUAUGAAAAAAGAAGAAGUUCUUAGCUUUUUCAUUAAUUUGAUCAUUUAUGUACGAUGAAUAAAGAAUUCUAGCGGUUCUCAUUUAUUAUAGUUAUAUCUAUUACAAAGUACUCUUAAGAUACCAAAUCGAUAUGUUUAAUAAAUCUUUUUUCUCUGUUUAUCAAUACGGUAUCAUAUUAAAGUAAAUUUAUUUUUCUGAUUAUUUUGUAAUAAGAUAUCAAUAUGGUGCUAUACCGGCUUUUUCAUUAUCUUUUGGAUAUCUUACUUUUUCAUUAUCAAUACUUGAUCUAAAAUUUGAGUUAGUAUGGUAUUACUUGUAGUUAAAUGCAAGAGUAUUUGUUUUAAAUGAACUUAAGAAAAAUAUGUAGUUAGUAUGGUAUUACUUGUAGUUAAAUGCAAGAGAAUGACCUUAAAAAAAUAUGUAGUGUAUAAGAUAUUAAAGCUAGCUAAGAAGAACGAGUAAAAAUGCUCCAUCAGAUUAUUAGGCCGGUUCAUAAAAGUGGGCAUUCAGAUUAAUUUUCCAUAAAGUGAUUUAGAAUUUGAGUUAGUAUGGUAUUACUUGUAGUUAAAUGCAAGAGUAUUUAUUUUAAAUGAACUUAAAAAAAAUAUAUAGAAUAUAAGACAUUAAAUCUAGCUAAGAAGAACGAGUAAAAAUGCUCCAUCAGAUCAUUAGUUCAUUCUUAAGAGGUGAUUUUUCAUUAAAUAUAAUUAUUAGAAAUGGUUCUUUCUUUAUCAUAAAGAGAGCAUGAAUAUGCAUUUCUUUUCAUAUGGAUCAACUCCAGCUUGAUGUAUUGAAUCUUAACCAAUAUCAACAAUAAGACUUAUGCAUCUUGACAAGCAUGAACAUAACUUUAGGAGUGAGCAUCAUAUAGACUUCAAAAAUGAUUAUAUUAAUACGAUUUGAAAUAUAUUAAUGAAACCCAAAUGAAUAAAAGAAAAUAAAAAUGUGAGUGUUGCAUUUUAAAUUUCUUAUGGUGACAUUCUAUCGCCCUUGCAAUUUUUUCUCUCUGUAAUUUUCUUUCUAUAUGCAAAUUUAGUAACAUUAUGAUUAAUUAAUUGCUAAAUUAUGAAUAAUAAUUACCUAGGUUAAAUAAACCUCUCAGGUGGUGCAAUGAAUUUAAUAUGAGCUUUUAUAUGAUAUAUUGCAUUGUAAUGAGUUACAUAUAUAUAUAUAAAUCAAAGGUUGUAAUGGGGAUUAUAUGUUUUGAGUUUCAAUUGUAGAAAUUAGACUUAUUUCAUGGGAGAAUUAGUUCGAUUUAUAGAAGAGAUGUUGCUAAAUCUUUCGUAGAAUUAAUUAGAAUAAGAAAAUAAUUAAUAGGAUUAUAUAAAAUUAAUUAGAAUUGGAUAUUAGAUAUUAGAAAUUAAAAAUUAUUUAAAGAUUAUCAGAAGAUAGGAUAUAAAUUUAUUUCUAAAAUUUUAUUUUUAUAUAUGAUUUAUAGGAUUAAGUAUUCGAAAGUUAUUUGGAGAGAAAGGUUAUCAGAAAAUUUNNNUAAUCCGGCGUGUUAUCUAAAACGUGUCAUUUAAAACAUGAAAAAAUCUCAAUCCAUAAUUUAUAUCCUAUAAAUUAUAAUAUAAAUUAUAAUUUAUAGGAUUCAUUAUUGAUAGGACUGAUAUAAAGUCUACAUAUGAAAAUAAUAUGUUACAAUUUAUUAUAUUGAGGUGUUUUGAGGUGUUUUGUUUCAUCAAUCUAAUGUUAUCAUAUUCAACACAAUUCAAUAAAUUAUAAAAAUAACUAAAUGUAUAGAUCAUUUUAUAAAAUAUAAAUGUAUAGAUCUGAUUGUAAUGUAUAUAAUGUAUAGAUAUGAUAUAUUUGUUGUAAUGUAUAAAUAUAUAGAUAUAAUAUAUUCAUUAUAAUGUAUAGAUAUGAUGUAGUGUAUAAAUGCAUAGGUCUGAUUAUAAUGUACAUAUAACAUAUCAUAACACAGAUACGAUGUAAAAACAAAAAUUCAUCAAACAAAAUAUUCCCGGUUUCUUUACAGUUUAAUUAAUAAAUUUCUCAAUCGGAGUAGAAUGUUCUCUAAGAUAGAGUGUCCUCAAUUUUUUUUUCCAGUUCAUCUCUGCGAAAAUUUUGAAAUAUAAUUAAUUUAUUUUUUUAAUAUCUAAUCUACACAACCGAGCUAAAACAUCAACAGGAUGUUGAUGACGUUAUUAAUUAACAACAUAACAUAGUCAUCAUAAAUGACUACUCAUGGUAAUCAUCAUCAUCAUCAAAUCUCACGGCAACGGUUGUCAACAGCUAAUGAUCACUGAUCAUGAUCUUUAUUUACUACAUGUACUUAUACAUGACAAUUUUACUGGCAUUCUCUUGGUUCCACACCGCACUGUAAUGGCAAAUAUCGAGCUGUCUUGAAAGCAUCAAACAAAUACUCUUCUUCAACUUGUCCCUGGAGAUAUUUCUCCUCAACAGCGUAGUACAGAGCCUCGCAUCUGCACUGUGUAGUUUCAGGAUACAUCUGCUUGAUCUGGUCACAGCACCGACGAAGAGACUGCUGUUGAUUACUGUCACUUCGUCUUGAUCUCUGUACACCAUAUUGUUGUGUGAUAUAUUCCUGGCAUUGCCUGAGUUUCUGCUGUCCAAUAAUAUGCUGACGACAGCCUUCCUGGUUUGGGUUUUUUUGUAUUUGGCGCAAGCAACGCAGACCGCAAGAAGAUACAAUGUCACUUGCUCUCUGCCCCACUCUCUCAGACUCUUCUCCUUGUAAGUGUCCCUGCUGAAUCUGAUAUUCGGCGAUAGAUUUGAUUGCUUCACAUUGGCAAUCAUGCCUCAGUUGCUCCACUUGAUUGCAGCACUGCUGGAGCUGCUGGGUCUCCUGCUGCUGGUCUUCAGCUCUAGGCAUCCUUAACAAUUCUUCCCCCGGUGAUCUUCUUGAACUUGAUUGUCUUAUAUAUUGCUCGCAGGAGCUCAAGUCCUUCCUCUGAAAUUCCUGGUGGCAUUGCUGUGACCGCGAUCCUUCCCCUCCAGCCUUUGUAUCGUCGAUCUCAAUGGUGGUUCCGUAAGCAAAAGAGGCGUUGGCAAUGAUGACCAAGAGAACGCUGAUGAGAGUUACUGUAGGUAUGAGCUUGGCCAUGGUUAUAGAACUUAUAAAUAAUAGCACCUAGAGAGUAUAUACUUGUUUGGAAAUGGAUGAAAAAGGUAAUCGGUAUUUGUACGAGGUUUCGGGGAAUGCAUGCAUAGAACGUGGAAGAUAUCACUUGAGGUGGCUCCAUUUGUUUUUGUGGUAUGGCUUAUGCUUACACGUAGGGCAGCUACAUGCAAAUUCUUUUGGUUUGGAAAUUUUUUUCGUUAAUAUGGACCUAUAUUUUUAUAUACGUCAAAUUAAUAAGUUAAAUUAUAUAAAAAUUAUUAAUUUUAGAUAAUAAAUUAUAUAAUAUUAUUUAAUAUUAAAAUAUUAUAUAUAUAUAUAUAUAUAUAUAUAUAUAUAUUUAUUUAUUUAUUUUCCAUUUGUCACAAUAUGUAUAUUUAAAUUUUACGUGUGAUAAUAAAUUUUGUAAAUGUAAAGUCUAAAUUAGAUAAUAAAAUAUAGAAAAAGGUAUAAAGAUUAAUUUUAUGAUUUAAUUUUUUGAUAUAUGUUUUUUUAAUUUUUUAAUGACACUUUAGUAUCCUAAGAAUUAGAUUAUUAGCAAUAUAUCUAAAUUAAUUAACAUUAUUAAUAAUUUUUGUUAGAAAUUAAACUCAAAUUAAUUAAUCUNNNNNNNNNNNNNNNNNNNNNNNNNNNNNNNNNNNNNNNNNNNNNNNNNNNNNNNNNNNNNNNNNNNNNNNNNNNNNNNNNNNNNNNNNNNNNAAGAAAAUAAUGAAUGGAGGAAUGAUUCUUUUCAAUGUUCAAAACUCAAUAAAAAAAUUAUAAUAAUUGGUGUACUCGUAUGAAAAUUGUGCUAGAAUCACAAGAUGCAUGGGAUGUUGAGAAAUGAUUCGAACAGCUUGAGAAUGACGAAGGCUUGAAUCAAGCUCACAGAGAUGCUUUACAUAGAUCUUGGAAAAGAAAUGAGUUGGCAAUGACAUUGAUGCAUUUGUGCUUAGAUGAAAGCAUGUUUGAAAAAGUCUCGGGUAUAGCAAGUGUCGAGCAAGCAUAAGAGUGUUGCAGAAUUCUUUUAAAGGAGUUAGUAAGGUGAUAAAAGUUCACUUACAAACCUUAAGAGCAGAGUUUGAAUCACUCAAGAUGAAAAGUUUUGAAUCAAUUUCAAACUACUUCACCCGAGUAUUGGUUAUUGUCAAUCAAAUGAGAAAAUAUAGUGAAAGCUAAAUGAUGUUCGAGUAGUUGAAAAGAUUUUGAGGUCUCUAGACUCAAAAUUUAAUUAUGUUGUUGCCAUCGAAGAGUCAAAUGAUCUAGGCUCCAUGAUUGUUGAUGAGUUGAUGGGAUUAUUGCAAGCUUGUGAAGAAAGGAUGACUGGAAAGCAACCACAAGCUCAAGUUCUUCUCUCAAUGUUAUCUCUAAAAGAGAAAGAUCGUGGUUGCGGUAUUAGAUAUGGUAAUUUUAGAGGAAGAGAAAGAGGGAUAUCUGAUAAGAACUUUAACAAUGAUGAGAGUUCAAAUUAGAAACAAGCAUUAAGAGGAUGUGGUAGAGGUGAUUGGUCCAAAAGAAGAGAUUCAAAAGCUGAUGUGCAAUGUUACAAUCGUGGAAAAUAUGGACAUUACGCCUCAGAAUGUAAGGCUAAUGUGCAUUAUUAUAAUUGUGAAAAAUAUAGUCAUUAUGCAUCUGAAAGCAUAAAUUCAGGUGUCAAAGAAGAAAAGGCUUAUUGUGCUAAAGGUGAAGAUAAUAAAGGAAAUAGUUUGUUACUAUCAUGUGAUGGAGUGAAGAAAAAGAUCAAGUAGCAUGGUAUUUAGAUACAGGUGCGAGCAAUCAUAUGACUAGCAAAAAAAAUUCUUUGUGUCUCUUGAUGAAACUUUUAAUGGAAAUAUUUCCUUUGUAGAUGAUAGAAAGGCUAUGAUUGAAGGAAGAUGAGAUAUUCUCAUUCAAGCUAAGGAUGGAUCGCAUAAGUUCAUUAUUAAUUCUGAGUAGCGUUAUCAAGAUUCGAAGCGAAAAAAUGGUGUUAGCAUAUUGAGUUUAGGUCAACUUUUGGAGUAAAGAUAUGAGAUCAUGCUAAAAAAUGGUGCUUUGAUGAUAAAAAAAUUCUAAAGGCAAUCUGAUUGCUAUAGUGAAAAUGUCUAAUAACAGAAUGUUUACUCUCAAAAUUCAAACUGGUUGUGUUAAAUGUUUGAAAGCAUGUUCAUCGAAUCCUUCUUGGUGUUAGCAUCAAAAGAUGGGUCAUUUAAAUUUUGAUAGUUGUUAGUGAAAGAAAGAAUGGUGUAUGGCAUACUUUUCAUUGAUCAAUUGCAAUAGUUGUGUGAAGGAUGUCUAUAUGGCAAACAAUUUAGAAAUAGCUUCUCACAGGAAUCAAGCCUCAAAACCUUUUGCAUUGGUAUAUGCUGAUAUCUAUGGCCCUAUAAAUCUACGUUCUUUUGGUAAAAAUAAAUAUUUCUUGUUAUUCAUUGAUGACUAUAGUCGAAAGACUUUGGUGUAUUUUCUGAAACAAAAGUCAGAAGGCCUUGAUAUGUUCAAAAAAUUUAAAGAGAUGGUAGAGAAGGAAAGUGGAUAUUCAAUUAAGGCUUCGAGAAUUGAUUGUGAUUGUGAGUUCACUUCAAAGCAAUUCAAUGAUUAUUGUGAGUCUCAUGGUAUUUGAAGAUUCUUAAUAGUUUCAAGAUCACCUUAAUAGAAUGGUGUGAUGGAGAGAAAGAAUAGAACCAUUCUCAACAUGAUAAGAAAUAUGUUGAAGAGUAAACAUAUGCCUAAAUAAUUUUAGGUUGGAGCUGUAGCUUGUUCAGUUUAUCUAUCCAAUAGGUGUCCUACAAGAAGUUUGCAAAAGUCUACACCAUAGGAGAAAUGGAGUGGAAAGAAGCCAAUUCUUUUCAUUUAAGAGUUUUUAGUUGUAUAGCUUAUAUACAUAUUCCAGAUGAAACACGAAUUAAAUUGGAUGAUAAAAGUAAGAAGCUUGUGUUUGUUAGGUAUGAUGCAAAGUACAAAGGCUACAAACUAUAUAAUCCAAAAAGCAAGAAGCCUGUUAUUAGUUGAGAUAUCAAGUUUAGUGAAGAUAAUUCUUGAAAUUGGAAAAAUUAAGAUGAAGACUACAAUUUCUUUCCUUUACUUGAUGAUGAGUCUAGCAAAAUAAGAGGUAUUGAGCAUCCUCCUUCACCUCCCAAAAUUUUCAACAAUUAUUCGUGAUGAUCAUAUGAUACUCUGAAAGACCUCCUAAGAUGAGGAGUCUUGAUGAUAUUUAUCAAACACUGAUGAGAUCAAUGAUAAUGCUCUUUAUUGUCUUUUUGCAAGAUUGGAGCUUAUAGAUUUUGAAGAAGCAAUGCAAAAUGAAAAGUGGAGUUUUUCCAUGAAUGAAGAAAUGGAAGCAAUUCAGAAGAAUGAUACAUGUGAAUUGUCAAACCUUCCGCAAGGAAAGUAAGCAUUUUGAGUAAAAUGGAUUUACAAAAUUAAAAAGAAUGUAGAUGGAGAGGUGAAGAAAUUCAAAGCUCGACUUGUUGCAAAAGGAUUCAGCCAACAACAUGGAAUUGACUAUGAUGAAGUUUUUGUACCAAUUGCUCGUUUAGAGACAAUUCGAUUGAUCAUUUCAUUGGCUGCUCAAAAGAAAUGGAAAAUUUUUCAAAUAGAUGUGAAAUCAGCCUUUUUGAAUGCAUAUUUGUAGAGAAACCAAUGGAUUAUGUUGUUAAAAGGCAAGAAAAUAAAGUCUUGAAGUUGAAGAAGGCUUUGUAUGGCUUGAAGCAAGAACCAAAGGCAUGGUACAACCGGAUUGAUGAUUACUUUAAAAAGAAAGAUUUCAUAAAGUGUCCUCACAAAUAUAGCCUUUAUUUCAAGAAAGAAAAUGGUAAUAUGCUGAUUGUUUGCUUGUAUUUUAAUGAUCUAAUAUUUACAGGAAAUAAUUUAGCAAUGUCUGAAGAAUUUAAGAAGGAGAUUGCUGAAGAGUUUAUGAUGAAAAUAUUGGCCUCAUAUCCUAUUAUCUUGGAGUUAAAUUGAAGUAAUCUCAUGACAGUAUUUUUGUUUCUAAAAAAGACUAUGCAAAGAAAGGCUUGAAAGAAUUCAACAUGGAGAAUUGUCAAUCUAUCAUUACACUUGCAGAGUGUGUUAUCAAGAUUUGAUAAUGGUGAGAAGGUGAGUACUAUUCUGUAUCGAAAGGAUUUUAGCGAAUCAAUACCACUAAAAUUCACAUUAAAAAUUCAUAAGUAAUUAUCUAGAAAGGAUUUUAGCAAACUAAUAUCACUAAAAGUCUGAAAAUAAUGCGACGAAGAUUUUGUUCCUCGGUAUGCAAAUCAAGGCACCGCCACCCAUGGUGGUUGGAAAAUUCAACGUGGCCGAAAAUUGCAAUCAGAGACCACCUAAUCGAGUCUGGAUAUGCAAUUAUUUUCACCUAACUCUUUAACAUUUUUUCAAAAAACGCCAAAGAAGUUGCUUCCCUGGCGAAGCUUUUUCUCCUAUUUCCAGUGAUGGCAACUCCAAUGAGGGCUUGUGUAACACCCAUAAAUUUUUUUCAGUAUUUUAAUUAGUUUAAUUUUGUUUUACAUAUGAUUAAUUGAGACAUUAAUUUAUUCAUUCCUCUGCAUUUUAUAAUUAGCUCUAUGAUACAAAUAUACACUAUAUAAUAUAAUGAUUUUAUUACUAAAAAAAAUAAAAUAAAAUAAAUUUAAAAUACCAAAUUUUAUAAAUAUUUUUAUGAUUUUCACUAUACUUUAUUUGCAAAUAAUUAAAUAGACACUACUUUAAAAUCACGACAAUAAUAAAUAUACAAAUUAAAUAAUAUAUAUAUAUAUAUAUAUAUACACGUGUGUUAGUGUAUAUAUGUAUUUAUAGUACAUAAUAAAGCAAAUAAUAAUAAUAAUAAUACUAAUAAAUACAUAUUUUGUACCCAAAAAUAUCCAUUUCCCUUCUCCUUUCUCAUUUAUUUUCUUUUCUUCCCGCUUGCACCCACCUCACCUCACGUCUCCCUCUCUGUUCAAGUUGUCCCUCCCCUUCCUCAUAAUUUUCCAGCCGCCUGAGCAGUAGUCCAGUCGUCCUCCACCGCCCUUGGCCAACGGCAGCUCCUUUUCUUUCCAUUUCUUGCCGGAAAAAUUGAAGAAAAAGGGAAUAUAGGCUGCCAUUUCUUCUGGGGGCCGUUGUAGGUGUUGUGGCUGUAUAGGGCUGCUACCAUUAGCUUUCUCAAGCUCCAAGCAGCCCAUUUUGGACCUCAUUUGCAGUUUCCAUCGUCGGAAAAGGGAGGAGGAGCUUCGCCGGAGCAGCAACUUCCUUGGUUUUUUUUUUUUUGAAAUAUUUGUGAAGAGUUAGGUGAAAAUAAUUAUACAUUCAGACUCCUCGCAUUGAGAUCUUCAAGUAGGUGGUCUCAGAUUGCAUUUUCGAUGACGUCGAACUUUUCAGCCACCGCAGGUGUCGAUGCCUCGAUUUGUGUGCCGAGGGGAAGAAUGUUUGUUACAUUAUUUAGAGAAUUUUGGUGUAUUCAUUCGUUAAAAUUCUUCACUAGUAAUUUGUUUUGGAUUUUUAAUGCGAAUUGUGGUAUUAAAAUCAGAAUAUUUAAUACGGUUGAACGAGUUGUUGAAUGAUUUUAGAACCGUUAUUAUUUAAAAGCUCAUAAACUAUUGUGUUAUAUCAUGUGGUGGAGAAUUGUUUGAAUAUUGAUAAAUUAAUUAUCGGAAUUAAGAAAUUAUGAUAAAUUAAAUAAAUUUGAAUAUUAUAAAAAUUAAUUGUGGAAGCCGGGUGUUUUAGGAGAAAUGAUGCCGGUAGAAUGUUUUAGAGAAAUCAUUGCAUUGCAUUCAUGUGUAAUUGUUUAUCCCAUUCCAAUCCAGUUGGUUCAAAUUUCUAUUCCUUUUUUUUAUUCUCUAUACAUGAUUGAUUCAUAUUCAUUAUUUCUUCUUCUUCUUCUUCUUCUUCUUCUUCUUCUUCUUCUUCUUCUUCUUCUUCUUCUUCUUCUUCUUCUUCUUCUUCUUCUUCUUCUUCUUCUUCUUCUUCUUCUUUAACUACCAUCCAAGCAACAAAAAAAUGGAAUUAAGGACCAACACAAGCGUGGCACAUCCAAUUCUCACAAAAUUAAAAUUAAUAAAAAAAUAAAACUAAUGUAAAAGUAGAAAGGGAAUUAAGGACCAACACAAGCGUGGCACAUCUCAUUUCUAUAGUGCAUGUCCUGAAUUUGCAUCACCAAAGAAAGCUCCAUCACCAAGCCUUGUUUUUAUUUCAAGAAACUCUUUAAGAGAACAGACUUCGCUUUCUCCACCAUCGUUAUAGCUAUAAUGAGCUUCUUUUGUUAUUCUUGUUCGCAUUUGUGUUAUACGGAUUUAUGGUGGUAGAUGGCGGUGGAACAACCAAAACAGCACCGCGAACUUCAUCGGCCGAUUUCUUUCUCUUACGGUAAUGACAGCAGAUGAAAUUGCUACAAUGUACUUGUCUAUUCAUGAGCAAUCUUCUUAUGGCAGCGUUGUUGAUUGUCUUGGCUGGAAAUAGAGAAUGGCAGAGGAGAGAUAAAUUCAUGACAGUUUUGUUUUUUGUCGAUUCCAAUAAACUCCGAUGAGGUGUGAACGAUCAAAACACAUGAAUAAAUUCCAGUCUCUGUAAGCUUUGGUAUUAGAUGACUUUUAUAUCAAUUGGUUAUCUUGAUCUAAUUUGUAAAUGCACUUUAACUUGAAGAUAUAAACUAUAAUAUCCCAUUGAUCUAGAACUUAAUGGUUUUUAUCAUUAAAUAGAAGAAAGAAAACAUACAUUGAUUCAUAUUCUUAUCUUAUUAAUAGAUACUCUAACAUUUUAGUUUUAUAUUUGCUAUAAUUCUUGAUACUAUGGGUAGAGAGAGGACCAAGUCUUAUUUAUAGACUAAUGGUGGUUUUCCAUCAAAGCAUCAAUGUUUACAACCCUUCAUGUCAUAAUAUUUAAUAAUAGUCAUACCUAUUCAAUUUACAACCUUUCAUUAACCAAUAGAAUUUAAUCAUUAAUAUUUUAUUAUAAUUAUAUAAAUCAUUAAUUUCUUACAUUCUCUCACUUGGCUCAUAUAAUUUAAUAAGAAUAUAAAGUGCACGAAGAUUAAUGUUAAAUUCUUUUUUUAUACAUUGGCUAUGACAUAGUAUCAUUAUUAAGUAGAAAUAUUAAUACGGGUCAUAGUGGUCGCAUGUCAUUUAUGGAUAUAGUUCCUUCCAUAUACCACAACACUAAUUCUCAACUUAACAUGAUCUUUAAUAAAGAUAACAUUAAUGGUCCAACAUUAGUGUCUUUAUUUCAAGAAUGUUCUUGUCAAUAUUACUCUAAAGCAAUUAUGUAUACCAAAUAGGAAACAGAAAAAUCAGAAACACAUAAUUGAGCUCAAAGUGUCAAUUAUAUAAACUUAAAAUAAACUUAAUCAAAUAUUAGUAAUGACGCCUAAUAAUGCUCAUUCUUAUAACAUGUUCAUUAAAUAUUUUGGGCGGUAAUCUUUUUGUUAAAGGAUCUGCAAUCAUAAGAUUUGUUCUAAUAUGUCCAAUUGACAUUUUUUGUUUCUGAACUUCUUCUUUAAUGGUAAAGUAUUUUAUCUCCAUAUGCUUAGCACCCUUAGAAUUCUUAUUAUUUUUAGAGAAGAAAACUGCUGCAGAAUUAUCAUAAUAGAUUUUCAGCGGCCUGCAAGUCCUGAAAUAAAAUUUCGCAGCCAUAAUCCAUGAACGGUAGCCUCAGAGCAAGCUACAAACUCAGCCUCUAUAGUGGAUGCAGCAAUGACAGACUGCUUCAUAUUCUUCCAUGAAAUUGCUCUUUCGGCUAAUAGGAGUAAGUAGCCAAAUGUUGAUUUUCUUAUAUCAACACAUCCAGCAAAAUCUGAAUCUGAAUAUCCAAUCACCUCAAGGUGCUUAGAUCUUCUAUAAGUGAGCAUAUGAUCCUUUGUUCCUUGCAAGUAUCUAAGAAUUUUCUUUGUAGCUUUCCAGUGAUCUAUCUAAUCCUGAAUUACUUUGAUAUUUGCCCAAUAUUCCGAACAACAAAAUUAAUGUCCGGUCUGGUGCAAGUUUGAGCAUACAUUAAACUCACAACAACAUAAGCAUAAGGAACGUUCUCUUUCUAUUCUCGUUCCAAUUCAUUUUUCAGACAUUGCAUAAGAUUAAAUUUAUCCCCUUUCUGAAUUGGAACUAUUCCUGCUGAAAAUCUGGAACAGCAAGGAUGGGUGCAUUGCAUAAUUUGGUUUUGACUUCUUCAAAGGAUUUUUGGGCCGCUUCACUGCAUUUGAACUCUCCUUUCUUUAUUAACUCUAUCAUCGGGGCUGUGAUUGUUGAGAAGUUCUUGAUGAAGAUUCUAUAGAAAGAAGCAAGGCCAUGAAAGCUCCUAACUUGAUGAACAUCCCUUGGAACUAACCAUGUGGAAAUGGCCUUCACUUUCUCCGGAUCAAUCUGUAUCCUUUCACUAGGAACAAUGUAUCCUAGGAAAGAAAUACUAUUACACAUGAAAGUACAUUUUUCCAUUUUUCCAUACAACUUAUGAGUUUUCAAUUUUUCAAAUAAAUCUCUCAAGUGCAACAUAUGCUCACUUUCAGAUUUGCUAUAUACUAAAAUAUCAUAUAAGUAUACAACAAUAAACUUAUUGAGACAAGGUCGAAGUACCUCAUUCAUAAGUAUCAUGAACGAACUAGGGGCAUUGCAAAGUCCAAAUGGCAUGACAAGCCACUCAUACAACCCUUGUUUCGUUUUGAAAGUUGUCUUCCAUUCAUCACCUUCUCGAACUCUCAUUUAAUGGUAGCCACUCCUCAAAUUAAUCUUGCUGAAAAUUUUAACACCACUCAAUUUAUCAAACAUAUCUUGGAGCUAGGCAUAGGAAAUUGAUAUUUGAUAGUUAUGUUAUUGAUUGCACGACUAUCAAUAUACAUUCUUCAUGUUCCUUCUUUCUUAGGCACCAAAAGAGCACGAACAACACAUGGACUAAGGCUCUCACACACAUAACCUUUCUCCAUUAGUUCUUCCACUUGCCUUUGCAACUCUUUAGCUUGCUCGGGAUUGCAUUUAUAGGCUGCUUUAUUAGGCAAUGAGGCUCCCAAAAUUAAGUCAAUUGCAUGCUCAAUCCUAUGAAAAGGUGGUAGCCCUUUUGGUAAAUCACAAGAAAAUAAAUCAGAAAAUUCUUCAAGCAAAUGACUCAAAGACAAAGAGAUAGUGGCAUAGGGAACAACAUUAGAAAUGAGUUUAACAAGAAGUACAAACCCUCCUCCCUCCAGUGCACACACUCUUUUUCAAAUUCUUUCCUCGAAAUUAGAAAAUUAGGCCUCCUUUCCACCAUAGGUUCAACCUUAGGAGGCAAAGAUAACAAUCUAAUCUUUUUUCCAUCCGUGGUAGUAACCGUAUAUACAUUAGAGACACCAUCAUGUACAACAUCUCUAUCAAAUUGCCAUGGUCUACUAAGCAAAAUAUGACAUGCACUCAUAGGCAAUACAUCACACUAACGUUCAUCAUGAUAAUUGCCAAUUGCAAAUGAAACUUGACUUUCAAACCAGUUUCAUUAUUCAACCAAUUCAAUUUGUAAGGCUUAGCAUGAUUUCGAAGGGGAAGCUUAAGCUUACUUACAAGUUCUAUGGAAGUCACAUUCGUGCAUGAUCCUCCAUCAACAAUCACAUCACAUGUCUUAGCAAGAACCUUGCACCUUAUAUGGAAAAGGUUCUCUCGUUGCUGCAUGUCUUUGAGAGGUUCAGAAUGUAAGACUCUCCCAACAACUCCACAAAGAGGGUUGUCAUUUUCCUCCGCAUCAUACUCCUCAACAUCUUCAUUAUUACUUUCAGAUUCAUAGCCAUAAGAAUCCUCCUCUGUUUGAGUUGUUUGCAACAGUCAUUCGCAUAAACAUUAAGCUUAUUCUGUUCGAUCUUUCCCAAGCUUUAUAUAAAACUUUUUCUUCAUUGCUAAUUUCAUCAGUAAUAGUAGCAGGUUUCUCAAUUUGAAGUGCCAAAUCAAGAUCCAGAACACCUAAGUGAAACUAAACUUGUUCGCACCAAUCAGAAAAAUUAAAACUAUUAAAUAAUGAAACAGAUGAAGCAUGUGAAUGAAGAGAAACAUGUACAAAUACUACAAAUAAAAAUAACAUAGAAUACUUAUACAUUUAAUGCUUUAAUUCAUAAUGUUUCUUCCAUAAAUUCAAAUAUAAAUAUAAAAUAUAUCAAAGUCCUCCUUUGGAUGAUACUAAGAUAUACUUAUGUAAAUAAUUAUAGGUAAUUAUAUAUGCAUAACUAAAUUUAUUUUCUCUAUCUUUGGAUAUGUAAAAGUAAAAUUAUUACAACAUACUAAUCACUACGAUUAUAUUUAUCAAUUAUAAAAUAAUUAAUCAACCUUUGAACUGAUCUCUAAAUAUCUUGUAAUGAUAAAUUUUAAUUUACCCAUAAAUAUACAAAAAUCGUAAUGUCAUUUAAACAUAAAAUUUCUAAGUAAUUGAAAAUUAUAAUCUAUAAUUUCAAAUUUAUUUACUUUAAAAAUUUGGUCACUUUGGUGACAAGCAAAUCGUUCUUAACAUAAAUUUCAAAGUUAUAAUAAUAUAUUUAAAUAAUAUAUCUACUUUCAUUAAAUAUUUAACUUAAUUUCAAUUAAGCAUUAAUUAUUGAUAUAUAUUUAUGUAGCAAGAAUUAAAGAUGAAUCUGGAUUAAAUUUCUUUUAUUAGGACGAAACUGUAAAUUUUUUCAAACUUAAUUGAAAGAAUAAUAAUUUUACAUGCAAUCUGAUAAAUUAACAAAAUUUAUGGACCACAAUGGACCUUUAACCAAAAACACCAGAAAGUUUAGUUUUUUUAUAUAACAAUCUACAGUCAUUUUCUAAGUUACAUAAACAUUAAUUUAGUCCCGAAAUGUCAAAAACUUAAUCAUAAACCAUACACAAUUAAUCUAAGACAGCGAGGCAACAAAUUUACACAAAGUCAUGAAACUAAUAUCAACAAAUCUUAAAUUUAAUCCAAACCAUGCAAAAUUAAUCAUUUUAAUUUAUAUACUAAAACAAUGAUUAAUUCUUGCAUGCAUCCACGACAACAAUAAAUCCAACAAACUUAUAGAAAAACACGAUUUCUUAAACUUUACUCUGAUAGCACAUGUAAACUAUAAUAUCCCAUCGAUCUAAAACUUCAUGUUUUUCACUAUUAAAUAGAAAGAAGAAAACAUACAUUGAUCCAUGUUUAAUAGAAUGUGAUUUUUCUCCCUUUUCCCCUUAUCUUAUUGAUGGAUACUCUAAUCUUUUAGUUUUGUAUUUUGUAUAAUUUUUGAUGAUAUGGGUAGAGAGAUGACCAACUCUUAUUUAUAGACUAUUGGUGGCUUUCCAUCAAAGUACCAAUUGUUACAACCCUUUAUGUCAUAACAUUUACCAACAGUCAUAACUAUUAAGUUCACAAUCUUUUAUUAACGGUAUAAUUUAAUCAUUAAUAUCUUAUUAUAAUUAUGUGAGUCAUUAAUUUCUUACAGAAGAAUCCUAGUUCUUCUAUUGAUCUUUUAAUAAACAUGGUUGAGUUUUCAUCAAUCUUUUAAUGAAGAAAGUUGAGUUUUGAUUUUUGAUCAAACUCACCGUUUUCAUCUGCUCCAUGUCAGCAAUUCAUUUUGCUGAUAUGGCUCUUUUUCUUGUUUUUAAGUAGUUUUGGUGCCACGUAUGCGUGUUAUAAUCGGAUUUCACUUUCGAUUGCCAAAAUUUCAUAAUAUAGAAAAAUAUAUAAAAAAAGUGAUUAAUGUGAUAAAUUUAAAAGAAUUUGAUAAUUUACAAAAAAAAAAAGGGUCAAACUAUAGAAAUUUUUAGGCAGUUAGACCUCUAAAAGUUAAUUAUUUUGUUGAAUUUUCAACUCCUUUGUUAGUCUUAAAAUUAAGAUUGACAUGUUGAAAUAAAACUCAAUGUUAUUAUUUCAUUGGAUGAGGCAUUUAAUGACGUGGUAAAUUAACCUCAUCGAUAGCUACAGAUAUUUGUGAUAUGAUUUAUGCUUACAUCGUAGAGCAGUUACAUGCAAAUUCUUUUUUCGCUUAAUACAGAUUUAUAUUUUCUUAUAUAUAUCAAAUUAAUUAAUAAAAUAUAUAUUUAUUAAUUUUAAAUAAUAAAUAUAUUUUAAUUAUUUAAUAUUAAAAUAAAAAAUAUUUAUAUUUUAUGUGGUAAUUUUGUAUUUAUCGCAAUAUAUAUACUUAAAAUUUAUGUUUGAUAAUGAAACUUUUAUGAAUGUAAAGUAUAGAUUGGCACUCUUCAAAGUGAAUAAUAAAAUAUAAAAGUAUAAGAUAAAAUAAAUUUAUGCUUGUUGAUACUUUAAAUAGAAAAAUAAAUAUUUUCAAGCAGAUAUGUUAAAGAUAUAAACUGUUUUUGAAGUUUUAUUUAAUAGUUUAAACUUGUGAAUAAAAAGAUUGUUUUUAUAGACAUAAGUUUUAAUUUGACUAAUAAGUUUAUCAUUAUUUUAUGUUGCAGUAAGAAUAUUUCUAAAUGUGCUUUUUAUUUAAAAAAUUUCCAUUAAUAUUAAUACUUUUAUUUUUCUUUUUAAAUUUUAUAAAAUGAGAAAUUAAGAUUAAAAAUAUCAAUUAAUAAGCUAUAUAACAUUUUGGAAUUUAUUAAUUAAAAUGAGAACAUAGAGUAAAAUUUUGACGAUCGAAUAUAGAUAAUUAAAUUAGUUCUUUAGUUCUUUUAUAUUAAAUAAAUAAAUAACCGUUCAACUUUUAUUUUAAAAUUAUUGCUUAGUGGGGUAUAUCUAUGCACCUAUAUAUCAACUUAUAUACUAAAUUUAUAUAAAUAUAUAAUUGAUACGUGAUUUUAUAGAUUAGAAUGUGAUCUAUUUUGAGGUACUAUUCAUUUCUUUAGUUCAUGAUUUUAAAGUUUUCUCUUAAAGAAAGGAAAGAAAUUAUAUUAAAUUUUAUAAGACUCAAAUUUUUUAAUUUUAAGUCAAUGCAAAUUAUAAUAUUAUCAAAUCAAUAAGGAAGAAUAACAUUUACUCCAAAAUUCUCAAUAACUGAAAGAUAUUAACACUCUUUGUCUUCAUCUUUACUCUUAAGUGUUUGCAAUUAUGAUUUUCCGAAAUCAAUCUUCCUUGCAUUAAAACUGCAUAUGAUCUGUUCGUUUAUAUUUAUUGUUUUCAAAAGAGAAAAUAUUUUGUUAGGUUUUCAAGCACUUUGUGUUAGAGCUUGUAGUUUGUAGGGUGACACAGUCUCCCUUAUAAAAGUUUAUGAGAGGCCCAUUUGAACCUAAGAAAGCAAAUGAGAGGUUGACAGAAGCCUAAUAACUUUUUUGGAUUAGUUGGAUAUGAGAUAUUUCAAACUAUAUAAGGUAUUUUAGUAUCAGAACCUUGUAAGGCUUGAUAUAUAGCUGUUAAUAGAGUCAAAUAGUGGAGACAAUCUUAAAGUGCAAUUUUUAGGGACUGAAUGUAGGUCUUAGUAUCAAACUAAGAUAAAUCUUUGUGUUAAUCUCUAUAAACUUACAAUUGCUAUAUACUUUAUUAGUCGUCUAUUACAUCUAUAUAUGAGAAUUUACUAUUCAGACGUCUAACUAUUUUCAAAAAGGUACAUGAGACAGCUUUCUCCAUGCAUCAUCUUACUUCUAUGAUCUAUAAGUGCUUACAAGUUACAUCAGUUGAGGUAUUAAUUAAAAUAUGUAGUUAUCUAACAAGAUGCUUUUUUAGCUUAGUUAGAUAUAUGUGCAACUUUAAACUCACAUUAGAACUUCUAUAGAAUUAUCUCUAAGCAUUUGAUAAACCAGUAAGGUAUCUAACUAGAAAAGCAUCUAUUUUGCACCUUCAAUAUAAAUAAUUUUUGAGGUAUACAGUACACAUAAUGAGUUUAUUUCACGUGUAUAUGAUAUUUUAAUUUUUAUCAAAUUUCUUUCAUUUAGAUUUUAAAAUCAUCAUUUAUAUUAUCUUAUAUAUCGAUAUGGACAAAAUACUUGUUAAUCUUAUUGGAAAGAAAAUAUGAAGUAUGUAAAUUUUGAUGUAACAAAUAUUCUCACACUGAAGGGCAACAAUUUUCCAAAUUUUCUGAAAAUAAUGUCAAAUUAAAUCAAAAUUAAAAAGAGCAAACAAGAAUGGAGAUUCAAUAUCAAGUUUAUUUCGAGUACACAAAGGAUAUCAUCAAAGUAUAUUAUAAGUACAUAACAGGCUUAUAAAUUUAACAGUAUAUAAUACAUUCCGAUUACAUUAUGAGUAUAUAAUAAGUAUAUAUUACCAUUUCUGAAUUUAUUAAAAUAUAUACAAUUGUUGUACAAGUACUAUAGAUUCUAAUAAAUGAGUUUAACCACUAAUAAUAGCUAUUAACUAAUUAUAAAAACUAAAUAUAAAUAUUAAUUCAUAAAAUCAUGUCAUGAAAUUGAAUCUAAAAACUAUUGCUAUUAAAUUUUUUUUGCAUCAAAGUUUAUGUAUCUUAUAUUUCCUUUUCAAUUUUUAUUGUCGUGAAAAUAGAUAUUUUAUCCAUACACAUAUAUAUAGAUAUAUAUCUUGUGUGUGUAUGUCUGCAUGUAAAUAUAUAUAACAUAUAUUUGAAAUAUACUUGUUAUAUACUUAAUAUAUAUUUUUCACUAUAUGCUUUAAAAGUUAUUCUAUAUUUUAAAAGAAAAAUAACUUUUCCAUAUAAUAUAUUACCACAAACUUACUAAAUUUUAAAAAUAUAUAUUUAUAAUAAUACCUAUAUAUAUUUGAUAUAUACUAUUUCUUAAGAUUUUUACAAAAUGGAUCUAAAUACUUAGUUUUUUGUAAAUUUAAGUUCUAAAAUACAAUACUCAUUUAAAAGUUAUAUGAUAUGAUAUUUUUGACGAAUUUUGAUAUAAUAAAAUUUGAACUAACAGAAAAUUAAUUAAAUAAAAGUUUAAAAUUGAAUUUAUCUUAUAAAAUUGAAAAAUUAAUGAAUUUACCUUCAAAAGUUUUUGAUAAAAUAUUGUUAAAUUAUUAAUGAGAUAGUUGUUAGAUUUGUUACAAAUUUUUUAGAAUUAAGAGUUUAGAUCGGAAUUUAUUUUGAAAAUAAAUUUAUAAUUUUUGUUGUUAGCGAUCAACUAAAGAAGACUGAUGCAACCAGAGAGAGAAAAAUGAUAGUUAAAAUUGUUCUGAAAGUAAUUCAAAGAAAGAAAAGAAAACAAAGAACAAAAGGACGCAAUAAAAGGUUUAAAAUAUUCAAGAAUAAUGUUCAGAGAGUAUAGAAAAAGAAAAUUAUUAGCCAAAAAAGAAUUCAAAAGGUGUAUUAAUUAGAUGAACUCCUCUUUUCUGUAGAGUUUAGUCCAGAAACUCAUACACAUUUGAGUUAUUAAUUAGAUGGACUCUGAAUACUUUGAUCUUUUUUAGGACCUUUGAAUAAUUGGAUAGGUGUAAUAUAAUGGCGCCUAUAGCGAUACUGACAGUGCCACAGUUAAACAAUUAACUUCUGCAUUUGCUCUUUUAAAUUAUUUAUUUUCCUUAACAAAGUUCGUGUCUGAGUCCUGAGUCCUAAAGUUUGAGCUCCAGUCCUACGUUAAUGGAGUUGGGUAGGCUCAUGACAUAUUAAUUAACAGAGGACCCACAUAAACUUAUUAUAGAUUUUGCAACAGUCAUGAUACAUGGCUACUACGUAAUCAUCAUUUUCUAAUCUCACAGCAACAGCUGCGAAGGGCUAGUGAUCACUGAUCAUGAUCUUUAUUAACUACUUCAUAUAUAUAUAAUCCUGCGACUUUAGAACCGGCAUUCGGUUGGUGAGACGCCGCACAUUGAUGGCAAAUUCGCAGCUGUCCUGAAAGCCUCAAAAACAUCCUGACCUUGAAGUUGCCCCUGGCUCUGUUGCUGCUCAAUAGCCUGCCUCAGACCCUCGCAUCUGCACUGUGACUGCAUCUGCUUGAGAUGGUCACAGCACCCACGAAGAGACCGUUCUUGAUUGUCACUUCUUCUUGGUCCCUGUCCGGAAACUUGUUGUUUGAUAUAUUCCUGGCAUUGCCUGAGAUUUUGUUGCUCUUGAAUCUGCCCACGACACCCCUGCUGGCUUGGGUUUGUUCGAGUUUGGCGCAUGCAACGCACACCGCAAGAAGAUACAAUUUCACCUGCUCUCUGCGCCACUCUUUCAGACUCUUCUCCAUGUAGCUGUCCCUGCUGAAUCUGAUCCUCUGCGAUAUAUUUGAUUGCUUCACAUUGGCAUUCAUCUCUUACUUGCUUUACCUGAUUGCAGCAUUGCUGGAGUUGCUGGCUCUCCUGCUGCUGGUUUUCAUCUCCAGGCAUCCUUAACACUUCUUCUCCUGGUGAUCUUCUUGAACUUGAUUGCCUCAGGUAUCGCUCGCAGGAGCUCAAGUCCUUCCUCUGAACUUCCUGGCGGCAUUGCUGCGAGCUCGAUCCUUCCCUUUCACCCUUUGACUCGUCAAUCUCAAUGGUGGUGAUGGUGGUCCUGUAAGCGAAAGACGCAUUGGCAAUGAUGAACAAGAGAACACUAACGAGAGCAAUUGUGGGUAUGAGCUUUGCCAUUGUUACUGAAUAUCAGAAAGCUGCUCUUAUGGAAUAUAGUAGAUGAUGGUAAUGGGCUCUUAUAGGAAAUUUAGGGGAGUGCAUGUCGAGAACGUGUAAGAUUUAUGGAAUGGCCAGUCAUUUCUGGCAUUUUUAUGGGGUGGCUACCCAUGGUUUUGAGGUCUGCUUUAAGCUUACACGUAUGGCAGCAGCAUGCAAUUUCUGUUUGCUUCAUAUGAUUCUUUUUAUGGAUUUUGCGCUUGAUGUUGUUGAAGUAUAUAUUUUUAGGUUUGUUUUAUUAUAUAUUUUGUAUAUCGUUGAACCAAAUGGUCUUUUGUUUAUAAACUGUUAUCCCGAAGCAUAUACAAUUAAUUUAAGGGUUAAAUUUCAAUUUUACCAGACUAAAUUAUUAUUUCUUUUAGAUACAACAGAGGGUACACCGGAAAACGAACACAAAAGUAUCACAAUGCAGCUGACUAAAAUCAACAACACCUUUACCAUGCCAUAAAGCGUCAUUAGAUAGUGAAGAAACUUUGUUCAGUUUUUUUUCAUUCAUAUUCGAAAAUCUUAGGUACAAGGAUUUAUAUAAAUUUUUAUUUAUAAGACUCCUAUUUUAAUAUAAAUUAGAAACUUAAAGAAUAUGAAUGUAUAAGGAAGGAGAUAGAUACAGGGGAUAUAUAGUGUGUUAGGAGACAAAUUAAAUCUUCUACACUCCCCCUCAAGUUGAUAUAUAGAGAUUUUGCAUGCCCAAUUUAUCUAAUGCUCAAUAAAAAAUUUCCCUUAAUACUGCUUUGGUAAGAAUAUCGGCGAGUUAAUCUUUAAAUCGAACAUGAAGGACUUCAAUUAUUUUGGCUUCUAACUGUUCCUUAAUAAAGUGUCUGUCUAUUUCCACAUAUUUCAUCUGAUCAUGCUGAUCUAGGUUAUGAGCUAUACCUCAUGCAGCUUUAUUAUCACAAUAUAGUCUUAUAGGACUAAAAUGUGGAACUCAGAGCUCAUGUAGUAAAUUCUUGAUCCAAAAUAACUCACAAACACCUUGAGUCAUUCCUCUAUACUCUGGUUCUGCAUUAGACCGAGUUACAACACUUUGCUUCUUACUUCUCCGUGUAAUAAGGUUUCCUCCAACAAAAGUUAAGUAAUCUGUUGUGGAUCGCCUAUUAUCAAUAGAACCAACCCAAUCCGCAUCAGUAUAGCCCUCAACAUUCAAAAUUAUCCCUUUGGUAAAUAUAAUGCCUUUUCUUGGAGAGGAUUUCAAGUAUUACAAAAUAUAAAGAACAACGUUUAUAUGAUAUUCACUUGGAGAGUGUAUGAAUUGACUUACUACAUUUAAAGAAUAUGCCAAAUCCGGACGAGUAUGAGCAAGAUAUAUUAACCGACCUACAAGUCUCUAAUAUCUUUCUUUAUUCGUAAGUACUUGCUCGGAAAAUAUAUCAAGCUACGUAUGUUUACUAGUAGAAGUAUUAAUUGGUUUGCAAGCUAGCAUAUCGACCUUUUUAAGUAAGUCUAAACUGUAUUUUCGUUGAGAUAAAAAUAUAACUUGCUUAGAUCAUAGUACUUCAAUCCCUAAGAAAUACUUGAGAUCACCAAAGUCUUCAUUUCAAGCUCUUCAGAAAGAUAGUUAUGUAAGGCUAUCUUUUCAUCAUCAUCAUUAUCUCCUAUUACAAUCAUAUUAUCAACAUAUAUGAUAAGCACAACUAUUCUUCCUUUCUUAUAUUUUAUAAAUAGAGUAUAUGAUCGGAACUAAUAUGUUUAUAGCCAAAGGUCUUAAUUGAGUUUGUCAACCUUCCAAACUAAGCUCUCGAAGAUUGUUUCAAUCCAUAUAGAGACUUUUUCAGCUUAUAGAAUUGCUUACUUCCUUCAACCUGAAACCUACAUCUUGGAGGUAGUUCCAUGUACAAUUCCUCUUAGAGAUCGUCAUGAAGAAAAACAUUCUUUAUAUCGAAUUGGUGGAGACCAAUUUAAAUUUACAGCCAAGGACAAAAGAAUUAUGACAAUAUUGAUCUUGGCCACAUGAGCAAAGGUUUUUGUAUAAUCUAUCCCAUAUGUCUGACUAUAUCCUUUCGUAAUAAGCCAAGCUUUGUGUCUCUCCACACUUCCAUCUGCCUUGUAUUUAACAGUAUAAAUCCACCUACCAAUAUAUUUUUCUCCAUUUGGUAGAUCAACAAUCUCCUAGGUUUCAUUCUUUCAAAGGGACUUCAUUUCUUCAUCCAUUGCUUCUUUCCACCUCGGGUCUUUUAUGGCUUCCUGCACAUCGUUAGGUACAUACACAAAAGAUAAUUGAUUUAUAAAUGAUUCACGUGUCUUUAAUAGCCUAUGGUAUGAAACAUAAUUAUUUAUUAGAUAUUUAGGUCUUGAGUCAUCAUGGGUUCAUAACUUGAUUUAGACUUUUCUCGAGUAGUUCGGUUCGAGAGUAUUCUAACAGAGAUUUUAUGAGUUACUUGAGAUUCAGCUCAGGAUAAGUCAUCAAGUAAAGAUGACAUUGAUUGUAGUGCUUCAAAUUCAGCUUUAUUACCUUGACCCCAAAUAUCAAGCUCGCAAUGCUCGGUUGACCCAAGAUCAAAAGAAUAAUGCUCAGAUUGUUUUGACAGGUCGAGAGUUUCAGUUGAAAGAAGGUCAGGAAUCUCUGUUGGAAAAUCGGAUUGUUUUGAAGGUCGGGUUGUAUUUGAAGGUCGAGUUGUGUUUGAAGGUUGGGUUGUGUUUGAAGGUCGGGAAAAUAUUGAAGGUCAGGCUGCAAGUCAAUAUUUCUCUCAUCCUGACUUGCAGUAAGGAAAUACAUCUGAUGCUCAUGAAAUUGGAUAUCCAUACUGACAUACACUCGUUGAGUUAGAGGGUGAUAACACUUAUAUCCUUUCUGAUGAAUACCAUAUCCAAUAAAGAUACAACAAAUAGUACGAGGUUGGAGCUUGUGGCGUGUGUGGUGAGGAAGGUGAACAAAGAUUGUGCAACCAAGGACUUUAUAAGUAAGUUCGGUAAUGAUGGUGAGGUAAGGCUUUUAUUUAUUUUAUCAAAUGGGGUAUGAAAGUCUAGGAUACGAGAUGAAAUUCGAUUUAUAAGGUAAGAUGAUGAGGAUAAAGUUUCUCCAAUAUUGGAAAGACAUAUUGGCUUCAAAUAGAAUAGCUCGUACUGUUUUCAAGAGAUGUCAGUUUUUUUUCCUGUAAUCCCAUUUUGUUGAAGAAAAUAAAGGCAUGUGGUUUGAUGGAUUACACCAUAUUGUUGAAGAAAUUGUGUGAAUUCAUGAUUAAUGAAUUCACCUCCAUUAUUUGUCUGUAGUAUUUGCACUGGAGUUUUAUAUUGAGUUUCCACCAUCAAAUAGAACUUCUUGAAUAAUGAGCAAACCUCCUGCUCACUUUUCAUUAAGCAUAUCCAUGUCAUACGACUAUAAUCAUCAAUAAAAGAAAUAAACUACCGAGCUCUAUUCAAGUUCGGUACCUUUGUAGGUCUCCAAAUAUCAGAGUGUAGAAUCAUAAAUGGUACUGAACUUUUAUUUAAACUAGUUCGAAAAGAGACACGAUGGCUUUUUACGAGUUCACAAGUUUCACAUUUGAAGUUUAAAAGUAUAUAUUUUUAAAAAUAACUUAGGAAACGAAUACUUUAAAUAUCCAAAUAAUGCAUGACCAAGGUGCUUAUGCCAUAACCAUAUCAUAUUUUCUAUACUUGUCGAUAUGGAGCUACUAUUUUCCAAACUUGAUUCCGACAAGGCACUUAAGCUGGAUGGUGCAAUGUCAAGAUAAUAGAGCUUUUCUUUUCUAAUGUCAUAAACAAUCGUCCUCUUUAUCUUGAUGUCCUUAAAAAUAUAAUAAUCAGCCUAAAAAAUUACUAUACAAUUUAAAAAGGUGUUUAGUUGAGAUAUAGAUAUUAAAUUGAAGUUUAGAGAUGGAACAAUUAAAACAUAUUCUAAAUUUUGGUUGUCAAGUGUGAAUGACCAUUUACCAGUAACACUAGCUUUUGUAUCAUUAACUGUGGAUAUAACGGAUUACUCAGUUGCUUUUAGCUCAGUAGGUGUGUUAAAAGGCAUAUUAUCAGUCGAUCCAGAAUCAAUAACUAAUAUAUACGACCUAACAGUGGCAGAAUUACAAAAAGAUUUAUCUAAUAGUUCUAAAGAUAUGUGUAAGAUAACAACAUCUAGCGAGGAAGGUUGUUCGGCUACAGCUAUUGAUACUGAUGCAGUUUUUACAGUUUUUGACUUUCUUUUCGAAGCUUUAGAAGGAUCCUACCAUUUAGGAUAUCCAAUCAGAUCAUAACAUCUGCUUUGAGUAUGGCCUGUUGCACCAUAAUGUAUACAUUGCUUUGUUGAAUUGGUUUGUUUAUUACCAAUAUCAAAGCUACGAAUAGAAUUCUGCAGAAGUGACGAGUUAGUUCUUUUCGCGAGUAAUGUAGCUGACUCUGAGAAAGCAUGUUCUCUAGUUAAGAUUUUUUUCAAUUUGCUUCUCGGCAAACAUAUGCAUAUGUUUGUUCAAGGUCUAAGCUCGGCUCCAUUCGGAGGAUUUCUCCUCUCACUUGUUCAAACUCGGCGUCAAGUCUAUUUAAAAAGAUGUGGAUUCUAAACUUCUCUACAUCUGCUUUAUACAUAGUAAUGCCCUCAAGAUCUUUUAUUCUUAUCUUAUCCCAAUGAUCAAGUUCCUAGAAUAUCUCAACUAGCUCGCUAUAGUAGGUCGGAAGCCGACUUAGGAAUGCUCGUUGAUUAAGAGCAAAAAUCUAAGUUUCGUCUGAUCCAUCAUAGAAUGCUUUUGGAAAAAGCACUCUAGAUUUCACGGGCUAUACUGAUACGAGGAUACUUUUUCAUAGUUUCUGGUAUCAUUGAUGUGAGUAACCAGCUUUUAACUUUUUGGUUUUCAGCAUACCACUUGAAGUAAGAUGGAUCAGUUAAUAUGGAGUUAAUAUGGGUAGAGGAGAAUCUCCUAUAAUAUAAUCCAAUUUUUUACGCCCAACAAUAUACAUCUCCAUGAUUUGAGACCAUGUAUCAUAAUUGGUUUCAGUAAGAGUUAUUCUAGCUUUAAAGCCAAAAUUUUUAGAAUUGACAUGGAUAAUUUGAGUGAUGGUAUGGUGGUUGAUUUAGUAGGGGUUUCAGAUGGAGAGGAAGAUAUUUUUUACAAUAAAAAUUUUAUGCAACUAGGCUCUAAUACCAUGAAGAAACUCAAUUCAGUUGUUUUCAUUCAUAUUUGAAAAUUUUAGGUACAAGGACUUAUAUAGACUCUUAUUUACAAGAAUCUUAUUUUAGUACAAAUUAAGAACCUAAAGAAUAGAAACGCAUAAGGAAUGAGAUAGAUACUGCUUUAGGAGACAAAUAAAAUCUUCUACAGAUAACCAAUCAGCAAUUCUAUUACCUUCCCUUAGGGUAUUUUGAACUUGAACAUAGUAAAUUAUAACCCUUAUAUUCUAAUUGAAAGGUUAAUCUCAUUCAAUUUUAAAAAAAUUUACGCCUUUCAGGUGCUUCAUAAAGUGAAAGCAUCUUUCAGAUAUUUCAUAAAGUCAAAACAAUACAUUCGACAGUAAAAAGUAUAUGAAAUAGGAUAGCAAGAUCCUCGUUUAACUUGUCCUAAGCUCCUUGAAUAUUUGAAACAGUAAGGGAAACGGGAAUAAAACCUAACUGGGUUAAACGUAGACAUGUUCUGAAAGGAGCAUUGGAAAAAAAAUGUCGCACAGUUGCAAAUGCUCCAUAACGAACACAUGGUGCAAUAAUUCCAAGAUUACUAAAUAAAGCCGAUCCAACUGAUAGAGCAUUAGAUAAUAUUUUUGCAAGAAAAGCUUCAAUUUAUUUGGAAUAUUUUAAUUUUCAGAGAUGUUUCCACUGAGUGUGUGGAGGUAUAGCCAUGGUGAAAUAAUGGGGCUAAAUGGAAGGAAAGAGAGACUUCUGCCAUGCAUAAUACCUUAAACCCACUAUAUACUUUUCUGUAUUGUGAAAAGGAAAACUGUAAUUGUCACCGUUUGAGACCAUCUCGGGCAAUAUUAAUAAAAAGUGGGUUCUAAAAAAUAAAAAGAAAUAGAUAUAUCAAAUAUGUAAAAAGUAGAGGUAUUUGGUAUUGUAUUUCUCUUUUAUAUCCAUACAAAGGUGUGAAACGAUAGUUUAGCAAAUAUGACAAAAGUCACUUCUCUUUCAUCAUCUUUUAUUGAUUUAUUUCCUUCUCCAUUACUUAUUUUUCUUAAUAUGUAAUCUAAAAUUUCCAUUACCUCUCUUUCAUAACAAGUAAAAAUAAUCUAAUAUUCCAUCAUCCAUAAUAACUAUCAAUCUUCUUUUCUUUUAUUUUUUUCUCUUAUUUCUAUCAAAUUUUUAUUUACUUUUUACUCCUAUUUUUCCUCAUUCUUCAAUCUUAAUGUUAUAAUUUAACCCAAAAGCUGUUAUCUUAUAUUCCAGCUCUACUAUUUUGUAGCUCGUCUCAACGAGUUAUGGUGAGUUGAGCAAAAUAGGUGGGCCACUGACUCAUCAACUCAAUUUGAAUCGGUUUAUUUUGACUAAGUUUCAUCUCUUGGUUUUCACAUAGUUUGUUGUUGUUGGAUGGAUCUAUUGUUCGGGCAGUAGUAUAGUAGUAUCAAACGAGAAGUUUUUUAGAAACUCUUCAAAAAUAUCUUAAAUCAAUAAAAAAAUCAUUUUUUUUCUAUAAAUUUUUCUUUCCAAAAUAAACUUUUUUCUAAAGUUAUAUUGUAAUUAUUUUUCAGUUUUUUCAGUUAUUUUUUUAAGUUUUUAGCUGUUAAAAUAAAAACUCAACCAAAACUGUAAAUUAAAAUAAAAAUUAAAUAACUAUAUUUUUAAUAUUUUAGUACAAUAAAAAAAUUAUAAAUUAAUAUUUUUUAGAUUUUUUUAAUCUAAUUUAGAUGUAUGUUAUGUUUAUAUAUUAACUAAUAAGUUAUAGAUAUCUAUUUAUUAGUCCUAUACCAAUAAAUUAUAGGUAUAUGUUUAUAAUUUUAAAUAAUAGAAUAUUAUAUAAAUUAUUGAACUAUAGUUAAUAUUUAUUUACUAAUUUUAAGUAAUAAAAUAUAUAAUAAUAAUUUAAUAUUUAUUAUUUUUCUAUUUGUUGUAUUGUAUUUAUAAUAUUAUAUUAUUUUAUGAUGUAUAGACAUUAUAUUUAUUGUGAUGUGUAAAUCUAAUAAACCUGUUAUUUAUUGUGAUGAUAUAUAGAUGUUACAUUUAUUAUAAUGUGUAGAUAUAUUUUUAUUGCGAUAUAUAGAUAUGACGUGGAUAAUAAUUUUCCAUCAAACUAAUUUUUCUCCAGAUUCUUCAUGGUUUAAUUAAUAAAGUUCUCAUUUAUUAAAACAAAAUAUUGAUCUCAAAGUUCGAUAUGGGUCUUUGUCUCUGAGAAGCUUUUGAAAUAUAAUUAAUGUAAAAUAUUAAACAAUUCCUGCGAAACUCUUGAAAUAUAAUCAAUGUAAAAUAUGGUACUAUGUUAUGUUUCCACCCUUUCCUUUUCGUCAAAUAAACUUGAGCUUUAAUCAAUGUAAAAUAUAGUAUUAUCCUAUGUUUCCUCCCUCUCCUUUUUGUCAAAUAAACUUGAGCUUGAUUCAAGCUUUCCAUAUGAUUAUAGACCAACUAAUUAAUAAACAAAACCUAAAUUCAUGAAGUAUUGUUCAUUCUCUCGGUCUAUAGUUUCAUAAUUCAUCCUUUAUAAGAAUAUAUAUAUAAAGAAAAAGAGUAUCUAAUGGAGAUCAUCAAUACAAAUUCAUUAAUCUUAAUGAAUUGAAUAUGCAUCUUGAAUAUGUCAAAAUUUUAUUUCCAAACUUCUUGAGAAGCCAGAUUGGUUACAGAAUAGCUAUGCAUCUUGAGUUAUUUUACAUAAUUAAACAUAUUUAAUCUAGAGUUUAGUCCAAAAACUCGUAUGGAUGCAUGGAAUGGACUCAUUGAGUAGCUUCCACACGAAUUUGACUAAUUCGAUGGACUCAUUGAACAAUUAGAUGGGCGUAACGCCUUGAAUAGCUACUAUACUCGUUGAUUAAUUAGAUGAAAUCUUUGAGUACUUAGAUUUUAGUUUUUUAGGACCUUUCAAUAAUUGGACAGGUGUAAUAUAAUGGCGGCUAUAGUGAUACUGAAAAUGCCAGAGUUAAUCUUUGAAUACACUGGGGGCUUUCGCAUUUGCUCUUUUAAGUUAUUUAUUUUCCUUAACAAAGUUCUAAUACAGUUAAAGUACCAGUCUCUGAGUCCUGAGUCCUAAAGUUUGAGCUCCAGUCCUACGUUAAUGGAGUUGGGUAGGCUCAUGACAUAUUAAUUAACAGAGGACCCACAUAAACUUAUUAUAGAUUUUGCAACAGUCAUGAUACAUGGCUACUACGUAAUCAUCAUUUUCUAAUCUCACAGCAACAGCUGCGAAGGGCUAGUGAUCACUGAUCAUGAUCUUUAUUAACUACUUCAUAUAUAUAUAAUCCUGCGACUUUAGAACCGGCAUUCGGUUGGUGAGACGCCGCACAUUGAUGGCAAAUUCGCAGCUGUCCUGAAAGCCUCAAAAACAUCCUGACCUUGAAGUUGCCCCUGGCUCUGUUGCUGCUCAAUAGCCUGCCUCAGACCCUCGCAUCUGCACUGUGACUGCAUCUGCUUGAGAUGGUCACAGCACCCACGAAGAGACCGUUCUUGAUUGUCACUUCUUCUUGGUCCCUGUCCGGAAACUUGUUGUUUGAUAUAUUCCUGGCAUUGCCUGAGAUUUUGUUGCUCUUGAAUCUGCCCACGACACCCCUGCUGGCUUGGGUUUGUUCGAGUUUGGCGCAUGCAACGCACACCGCAAGAAGAUACAAUUUCACCUGCUCUCUGCGCCACUCUUUCAGACUCUUCUCCAUGUAGCUGUCCCUGCUGAAUCUGAUCCUCUGCGAUAUAUUUGAUUGCUUCACAUUGGCAUUCAUCUCUUACUUGCUUUACCUGAUUGCAGCAUUGCUGGAGUUGCUGGCUCUCCUGCUGCUGGUUUUCAUCUCCAGGCAUCCUUAACACUUCUUCUCCUGGUGAUCUUCUUGAACUUGAUUGCCUCAGGUAUCGCUCGCAGGAGCUCAAGUCCUUCCUCUGAACUUCCUGGCGGCAUUGCUGCGAGCUCGAUCCUUCCCUUUCACCCUUUGACUCGUCAAUCUCAAUG
rnacentral:lncRNA from 1 species